rnacentral:lncRNA from 1 species
UCGAGGAGAUUACACAUGCGUACAGUUAGAGGACUAACCGGAAGAGUUUACAGAAGAUUGGGAAUAGAGAUAGAUGUAACUUAAACAGAAAAGAAAAACUAUCUCUAUCUCCUAGAAGUGGCGCCCAAGAAUAACUCUUGGCGGCCCAUAAUAUUGGAUGUUUAACAUGAUGCACACCUAUUUAACUCACCUAGCAUUUUGAAAAGUACACCGAAGAGAUCAUUGAGCAGGUCGUGCUAAUGCUUCUCCCUCUUGGCUUUGUGCAUUUUUCUCGGGGCUUUCUUCUUGCACUUGCCAACGGUGACAUGCCUGCGAAUUGAAAGCUACUACAUCAACAACAAUGGAACACAGACACAACUCUCACACACAUCCAUUUAAUCCCUGCGUACGUUCAGCCAAUGAAAAUAAACAGUAGAAGAAUCCAUUCACUGAAACCCGGCCCGGAACAAAACGAGAUCUAGAACCGCUCCAACACGCCGAAAAAAGAUAAGCUUGGCAGGCAAUUCUAGGCACUCAUCAACACAUUAAGGUACAUAUAAAUGAAAAGCCAAAAAGAAAAAUAAGGCCCUGCCCACAAAAAUGACGAAAAAAACUUGCUAAAGAUAUCAAAUAUACUUUUAUAGCUAUAGAUAUCACAAAUAAAAAUAGGAAGAUGAGGUAAUCAUAUUAGUCAGCUCCUGAAAAUCCUGUGGCGAUCUGAUCCUCCAAAGGAACCCUCUGCCAUCUUUACCUCCAGAAAUGUCAAGUGAUGUAUCUACAGGACUGCACGCAGCAGCAAAGACCUCAUCUGUACACAAGAUAUGAAGACCAACUAUUACCAGAAUUGUUUUUCAGUGCAAAGGUAUUAUGCAUAAUGAAUCUAACUAACUUAUUAGUGGCAAACAACGAAUCAUGGUCACAAGAUGUAGUAAGUUAAUUUUCUCGAUGAGAACUUACCUUUGUGCCCAUGAAAAGCAUAAGCUCAGGGCCUCAUCCUCAUCUGAAACAACAACACAAUAAAGCAAAUUCAGUGAUGCAACCAUCAUCCCCCGCAUCAAUCCGCCACUGCCGCCAGGGUUUCGUGCCCUUCACAACUCAGGGCCUCAAAGGUGGAGGAAGGGGGAAUGGAAGAGGGAGAAAGAAGGGACGAGUAAGGAAGAAAAAUCUAAGAUAUGCCCACACCCAAUUAUUAGUAAGUUAACUUACAACUGUUGGCAAAAAAAGAAGCAACUUAAUAACCGAAGAGCCUAAAUUAUCCGCUUUUUAUGAAGAAAUCAAUUAGUUUUGAAAUACAUGGGAAAAGCUGAUGUUAAUAACUAAUGUUUGUGCUGAAAUAAAGUAGUCUGCACUAUCAAAAGCAAAAAAGGGCC